rnacentral:lncRNA from 1 species
CUUGAACGGUGUUGAAGUACUCUAACGCUUAAUUAUGAUCCGCUCCACACUUCGGGCAAUCUACAUAUAUUCGACGAAGGCAUCGAUAAAUAAACCGUACUCACAUAACAUCAAAAUAAAGUCAACAACAAAGAAUUUAAUGAAAACUCAACUAACAGAAAAUUUGAAUAGAUAUUUAUUAUCUACAUGAUAGUGGGAGCACAAAGCAAAAAGAAAUAAUUAAAUUAGAUGAACGGUUUGCAAAAUAUGGCCUCCGGAAGGUUUGAAAUAAAUCUGAUCCAACUAAAAUUUUAAACAAUGAUGACCUGAAAACUAUUAGCUCUGUCAAACUCUACUCGUCAAUACGAGAUCACAGGAAAAAUAAUUUCUUGAUCCGGAGAUACGAAUCAAAAGUUAAACAAGUUUUAAAAUCUUACCGAGAAUCUGACCGAUCUAAAAACAGCUUAAAAAUAGGUUUAAUAUGGGUACUGUAGCAAAUCGUGGAUUGGCUGAAUCGGAUCGUGUGCACGUGCUUACCACGAACAACAGAGGAAAACGGGUUGGUCUCGGGCGUGGCUCCUCCGCGGUAGUGCUCCGGUGACGGUCAACACAAACUCCGACGAACUCCGUCGACGGCGGCUAACUUCGACGAAGACGAGGUUGCGGUGGACUCCGGCGAACGGCGACAGUGCUACUGGAGGUUGCUCCGGCGAGAUGAGGUAGACCGGGGCAGGGAAAUCGUUGACAGGGGACAAUCGGGCCAGGAACGGAUCGGGGAAAGAAAAAAAAGAGUCUGAGGCCUCGGUCCCUGGGACUUUGUCACUCGCGAGAGGAAUCCUGGGCGCACACGAAAACGGCUCGGGGAAGGAGUCCUGGGAGAAAACAAGGUUGACGGCAUCAGUAGGACUCCGGCUCGCUCGGUGUGGCUGUGCG